UAUGGCCAUAUCAUGUUAUAACACUGGUUCUCAUAUGAUCAUUGAAGUUAAGCACUGCUGAGCCUGGUCAGUACCUAGAUGGGUGACUGCUUGUGAAUAUCAGGUGCCGUAAG